GGAGUUGCUAGGCCACCUCCAACACCAGGAAUGCAGUAACAAUAAUGUACUUAUAUCUUUCUCAGUUUUGAAAAACAGAAUAGGUUUUGACAUAGAAUGCAGUGAGACACUGAGAUGCUAUGCAAGUGGUAUGAUUGAUGCUGCUUACAUCUUUCUAAAGGAUUAAUAAUGGAUCUUCUGUGAAAGACAAGUGCGGGGGAGUGAUGGAAGUGCCCUUAUAAAGCUUCAGGUCCACAAGGAGUGAACAAAUGCUGCAUCUCGCCCAGACUACAGGAAGGUUUAAAAUGGAGAUUUACAGCUGAGACACAGGACUGAAUUUACCUUGAAAUUUCAAGCCUUCAGCAACUUUCUCCCUGCAAAAGUCAGCUUUGAACCUACCUAGCAACAACAUGCAAGCUAUGCCUGCUCAAGAAUACCCCCAAAUGCGGCCUUUCUGGAGGAAAAAAAUAUAGCAUUUUGAUUAUUGGAAUGUGUCAUACUCAGCAUGUAGAGGAGAGUCUAUGUACUUGUCCCCAUCCAUUCUAACUUCACCAGGUGUGCAGGCAGAAUUUUUUUUUUCAUUUCAGCUGGGAAAUGUUUUCAUAAUGCUAUUCACCAAUUCCUGAAGAUUUGCAAGCCCUUUGCUGUAAGGAUUGCACACAGUGUUCCUCAUUUCAGAGGCAUAUGUUAGCACUGCAACUGUGCCACCAUUGCUGUGUAUCAGAUCCUGUGAAACAGCCUUAAAAAAACCAAAGCAAAGCAAA